rnacentral:rRNA from 1 species
GACGGACGCUGGCGGCGUGCCUAAUACAUGCAAGUCGAGCGAAGUUUUUCUGGUGCUUGCACUAGAAAAACUUAGCGGCGAACGGGUGAGUAACACGUAAAGAACCUGCCUCAUAGACUGGGACAACUAUUGGAAACGAUAGCUAAUACCGGAUAACAGCAUUAACUGCAUGGUUGAUGUUUAAAAGUUGGUUUUGCUAACACUAUGAGAUGGCUUUGCGGUGCAUUAGCUAGUUGGUGGGGUAAAGGCCUACCAAGGCGACGAUGCAUAGCCGACCUGAGAGGGUGAUCGGCCACACUGGGACUGAGACACGGCCCAGACUCCUACGGGAGGCAGCAGUAGGGAAUCUUCCGCAAUGGGCGAAAGCCUGACGGAGCAACGCCGCGUGAGUGAAGAAGGAUUUCGGUUCGUAAAGCUCUGUUGUUAGGGAAGAAUGAUUGUGUAGUAACUAUACACAGUAGAGACGGUACCUAACCAGAAAGCCACGGCUAACUACGUG